GGCCUGUCUUCUAUCGGUCAGCCCCAGGCCUGAGGCACCAGGUUCCAAAAGCUGUGCUGACCAGGAGCAACUCAGGCCCUCUGGCUGCCCAUUUCACCUGGGUCCCUGCAAAACCCCGAGAGGAUGGUCAUGUGGACUGGAGGGUAGGCUAGACUGGUCGAGCAUUGGGAAAAGAACCUUCUAGGGAGGAGCCACUGGGCCAUGGAGGACAAUAGGAUGAGGAUGAGGAGACGGACUGGGUGCGGCGCCCCCCGUGUGUCUGCAGUGGAGUGUGUGUGUGGAGAGAACCAGCGGAGAGUGUGGGUGGGCAGAGAUGUGGAGACCCUCGCGUUCUAGGUGGGGUAGGUGAGAAUGGGGGAGACUCCAUAGUCACAUGUGAACAGAAAAUCACACACUCAGAGCUGCCUUCAUGUCACUGAUUUGUAUCCUGAUUCCAAAAAGAAAUAUGAGCAAGUGUAGCAACACAGUGGGAGGCUGGUGAAGAAGAAGAACAGAGACAGAGGGUUGUGUCAAAAAUGGAAGCUACGGACCCCUCUGCAGUGGCCCCCAACAGUGGUCAGCCGGGGCGCCCAGAGGCAGAGCGCGGCCUCCAGGGUCCUCUGUCUGUGACUGUUCACGUGGGAGGCAGAGCCCUCCAGAGCCACGUCCGGCACCCACCCCUCUGUGCUCACCAAGUGCUUGGGCCAGGACUCUGAGUGGGGCCUGCAGAGAUGGGUGUUUACACGCGGGGACCAGGGCACACAUUCCUCCUGCUUUUGCCCCGGCCCAGGGAGAGGCCUCGGAGACUCCUAGAUGCUGGACGGCAGCCAGUCCCCAGUCUCUGCACCCAUCCAGGGUUCAGGGCACAAGCAUCUUGGGGGCUGUGCUCCCUCUGCAGCACUGGCUGAAAGGAGACCCCUUUUCUUUAAGCGCCAGGCAUGCAGGAGGCAAAACUGGCAUUCGCUGGUGACAACUUAAGAAGCUGUUUUGCGCUCUGGUGGGCUGGGCAUGAGCAGUGGCCAGACUAUGGGUCUUUGGGGAGCAGCAGGGAGGAGCUGGGAGGGAAGUGAGAGGGCAGGGAGCGCUUUGUCCAGGCUGUGCCGAGGUCCCCGUGGGGUUUGCUAUGUAAACUCGAGUAGCCAUUCACAGCAGGCGUCCGGCAGAAAUGCUUCCUAUAUGUCCCUGAAAUGUUUAUGCAUUUGUUUUCCUUGGCCAGGGCCAGGCCGCUCCAGCUGAGCGACCGAGUGGAGGAAGUCGGUUUCCCCGCAGCAGCCUUGUUUAUCAGCCUGGGAAGGAAAAGUGUGUCUUUUCAAUAAAACACUUAACCUCCUGACCAAGGUCCCAUUGCCGGAGCUGGAGAAAUCAAAAUAUUCCCAGCGUUGCUUGAGAAGACUGGUUCCAACAAAUUACAAAAGCACUUUUCUAGAAGCCAAGACAUAGGUACAUGUGCAAUAUGACGCCCCUUGCCUGGAAUUUUCUGUAAAGGAAGAUGAGCAAAGUCCGGCACUGCCCUCUCCCAGGCCCACAAGCCAGAAUGAACCCAAGGUACUGCUGCCAAACCUGCAAGAAUGAAAUAGAGGCCCUGCCUCUUUGCACACGGUGGUCUCCAUCUGGGCUGAAUAAUUUUCUAGGGAGACUGUGAAUAAGCCUCAGACGGCCCAUAACUCCCCCUCCAAAUUAUAUUAAAAUCUUUGUGUACAUGUACAUUUGUGUAAUUUCCUAAGGAGAGAGUCGAUAGCCUACCUCAUGGCCUUGGACUUGGAACAACGCCCCACUCUCUGUGAAAGGUUAAGAACCAUAUCCUAGAGCUGAGUGGCCUCUCAAGGGCUGAACCUGGGCUUGCCUGCUCCUCUCUGGCCUCUACAUGCACAAGGGGCCGGUUUACUGAAAAAAGCAGAACUCAAUGUGUUGCAAGCAGGAAGCAGCUUUAUUCCUUCUUAUUACAGUUGGCACCUUGUAUCCGUGGGUUCUGCCUCUGUGGAUACUGGAGGGCCAACGAUGGGACUUGAGCAUCUGCAGAAUUUGGUAUCCAUGGUGCAUCCUGGAACCAACCCCCCUCGGAUGCCGAGGGACGACUGUAUUUCUCAUUGGAUUCUCUCUUUCUCUUGGCCAUUUGUUCCUUGGUCUCUGGAUGAAAGAGAAGGCUGAUCCCACUGUUCUUCCGGCAGUGUGAACAGUAAGACCAGUCUGCUGGCAACACCUAGCCCCAUACUCUUAUCACUGAAAAGUGCCCCCUCCCCCUGCUCUUAUGGGGACCUCUUACUCAUAGGGGUCUUUCCUGAGUCAGCUGAUUCAUCCUUAGGCUGCUGCUUAUGGAAGCUCCCAACACCUGCCCCUACCCAGCUUCUGGUGGAGUCAACCUCCCUUCUUCCCCUUUUAAGAAGACAGGAGUCGUCCUUCUGCGGGAUCCACAUUUGAACCAAGCAAAGGACCAACGCAUCUUUGCCUCCCAAAUUCUGGAAGUCAGACCUUUCCCACCUCAGCCUGCCUGUCGGCUCAGCCACCCCUCAGGAGCGCGACAUCUCACCGUUCUCAGGUGGGAGUCAGGGACCGCUCCACACUGCGGGGCACAUACGACUUUCAAGGAGUUCUUUCAGGGAGUUCUCUUGAAGCCUCCCUCACUUGGCUUAAGGAGAGGAGAUGGCCCAUGAGUAGGAAGUGGGGAAGGGGAUCCCAGCGCACUGAUGUCUCUCUCCAAGGAGGUCCUUGCAAGCUGCUGGCCUCUUCCGCUGCCUGCCCAGUGCUUUCCUCGCCUUCUCCCACAGCCAGUGGGCGUGAUGAGCCAUCCUCGGCAGAACCACCUGCACCUCUCUGCAGUUCUACGUGGCAGCGACACAGCCUCGGCUGCUCAAAGUCCUGAGACCAGGGGACCUGAAACCAGGAACAUCACCUGGGAGCUUAUUAGAAAUGCAAACUCUUGGGCCCUACCCAGACCUACUGAAUCAGAUCUGCAUUUUAACAAAAUCCCCAGGGAUCUUGGGGACAGGCAUCUUCACCUUAAAGUCUGAGAAGCACUGAUGGAAUCCUCAAAUGCCUUUGGAGAAGCUAUAAAAGCCGAGGUCUGGAUCCUUGGCCAACAUCUGAGGCUCUAUGCGCCCACCUCUGGACAAAACUGAGGUUCUCCCACUGGAUCCGGGUGGGGACUGGGACCAGAUGGCCCUGGGAACAGCCAGCUCCCACUGGAAUGCCGGUCUCGCAGACGCGUCAGGAAUAAGGCACAUCUGGAAAAGCGAUCACUGAGACUGUUGCUCCAGCAGGGCCAGACAGUGCCCAGGCCUGAAUGGCCUCCAGCCCCGCCCCAGGAGCUGGGGAGGGGGGGCAACCCCCCUUUGUUUAGCCUGGCUCAGGCCUGUGGGCUCUGGAGGCUGGGCCCACGCCGCUGCCCCUGGGAGGGCCGCACUGCAGGGGGAGCUGGGUGGAGGCAGUGCCCUCCUCAGAGCCCAAGCUCCCAGGCUGGUGGGGCUGCAGGCAUGGCUCUGGCCUCUCCCAGCUUCUCCAUGUGCGCACUCUUAGCCCAGUGCUCGCUCCCCACACACCCCUUCCUUGCCCCACCCCAGUCAUGUGGGAAAUUGAAGAUGGUCCUCUCACUCCCACCCUGCACCCAUCCCAGUGCCUCUGGGGCCAGCUUUGCCCAGCCCUUGUACUUGCUCCUGGGCCAACAGUGGGGUUUCCAUCUGGUAACCAGACCCGUCAGGGGCCCUUCCUAACAGAGAACGGGUCCCUGAGUUCUAAUCCCAGUUCUGCCGUUCCUUGGAAAAUCACCUGCCAUCUGAGCCUCCCAGGGUUGUGAUGAGGACGGGCCGUCAGACAAAGGCUGUUUCCUUCCUUCCUUCCUUCCCUGGUUGGCCUGGAUUUGUGGCAGACCAGGGAGAAGGAGGUGGAGGGGUUUGAAGCCCUCUGGGGCCUGGUGCUCCCCUUUCCCCGCUGAAAUGGUCAGGUCACGGUCACAGAGGCCGCUCUGCAUUGUGCGAGGUAGUGGGUGAAUGAGGUGGGCAUUGUUCUGGAGAUGCCUGCAUUCUGCUGGCGCCUCCUGGUGACGGCAAUGCCCUUGUCCAAAGGAAGGCGCAUAAUGGUGACAUUAAGGCAGAGGCAUUGCUGGCCCGGGGAGGGGUGGGAGACACAGGGGCAGGUGGUGGGGAUGUUGCCCUGAGGGUCCUCAUAUCAUUCUGAAGCCAGUGGGUAACUCAUUUGCCUGGGCAAAUGUCACAACCCCUUGUUCCCCAUCUCCUGCCCUGCUCCAGGAGGAGAUGGGCCCCUGGCAAGCACACACUCACAUACAUGUGCCCCCCAACAGUCAGCCACACAGAGCCUGCAGGCUCAGGUGUAGAAUGUAUACUUCAGGGGAACAAGGAGCUGGGCCGUCUGGCUCAUAGAUGUCUCCGUGUCCAGAGCAGUGUUUGGCACAUGACGUGCGCUAAGUAAAUAUCUGUUGGAUAAACGAGCCCUUCCCAGGUGACUCUUACCUUCAUGCAUAGUGGCACAUCAUGUGUCCUCUGCUGCAUGGAUCCUGACCUGGCCCGCGGACACAUUGUGGACCCAGGAGGGUACACAGGCCCACACAGGCUGAUUCCUGUCUCUGGGGUGCUGCACCCCAGCACCAGCCCGAGUCCAGUGGCCCCUGUGGGCCUAGUGCCAGCUCUCCCCAGCUGCCUUCCUCAGGCCCUCCUGACUGGGCCCCAGCACCUAACAGCAUCAGCACUUGUCCCUGUACCCAGCAGAGCGCAGGGACAGGUGUGAGGGUCAGCAGGAGCAGGAAGCCGAGGGGGAAGGGGGGGAACAAUGAACAUGUCCCUCAGUGAUCACGGAGCCUGUGGCCUGAAGGGAUGGUCCUGCUCUAAGGGGCACCGCAGCCCUGCCCUCAGAGUCUGGUCUGAGGGGAAACAGGGCCAUCCACCAAAGCCUCAGAGAGAGGGCAUCCCCGCCACGUGGAGGGAGCUCUGGUCAAAGGCGCCGGGACUGACCAGAGAACCCUUCACCAUGGGGCGUGGUUGCCAUCAGACCAUAGGACCAUGGGCCAGCGUGUGAGGAGCCUCCCGGGGCAUGGGGAGCUGAGCCAGGCCUGCCCACAGUGAAGGACGUAGAGGAGGUUCUGGGAAGUGGCCCAGCGGGGCCAGCUCCCUCUCGGAUGGUUAAUAAGGCACCAAUUAUCCGGCCACCCGGGCUCUUGGAGCUGGCAGGGCUCACGGCCACCACUCUGCCUCCUUGCUGCAGAUCCACACGUCCACUCUGUCCUGUACUUACAGACAGUUCGGUGCGCCCAGGUGAGCAUAGCUCUGUCUACCUCCACCCCCUGCGGGGCCUUUGCUCCCGGCAAACACCGGGUUGGUCCCUGGGCGGUUCAUCACUGGGGCCAGGGUGGCCCUGGUGUGCUCUGCAGCCAGGCAGGAGGGUGGCCAGUGGGGGCUGCUGUCAUCUUCUGCAGAUGGCCUCUGGACAGGAGGCACAAGAUCCAUGUGCUCAUCCCUGCCCUGCCCCUGGCACACACAGAACUCAAAGUCUUUCUUCUCACUGGGCCUCAGUUUCCCACCUGUAAAAUGGGGAGAAGCCAGCUUUCAGUGUAGGGUUAUGGUGAGGCAGGCAGGAGGAGGGAGGGGAGGGCCAGAGAGGCCCCUCCCUUCUGGGCCUGGCCCUGCCCAGGGCCCCGCCUGGCUCCUCUUCCCACACAAUAAUAUGCAGCAGGCUGGUGGACUGGGCCUGGGGGUUCCUGACUGGCCUCCUAGCCCAAGAGUCCAGUUUCUUGCUCAGUUUAUUGGCUGCCGCAGGGCCUCUGGAUUGGAGACACACGGGGCACAGGUUGGAUGAAGGGGCUGAGGUGCGGGGAUGGUCUGCAGAGCAGCCUCUUCCCCGCCCCCUGCUGGGGGCGUUGUCUGGUCACCCCCACCUCCCCUCCGCUCACUCAUCUUUCUCUUUUCCAUUCUUGCCUCUGGGUCCAGUCCUGUAUCCCCUCUUUCCAGCUGUCUCUUCACCCUGUGUGCUCUCUCUGUCUCUGCCUGGGGACCUAUCUCUUUCACUUCUACUUCUGCACUGAUCAUAGUUCUCUGUCCUUCCUUGUCUCUCUGUCUCUUCCUCCCUCUGUCUGUCUCAUUUUCCUCUUUCCUUCUCGGGUCCGUGUCUCUCUGCCCCUCCCUCUCGUACUCCCUCCUUCUUUCCCCUCUCCUCGUCUUUUCCACCCGGGUCUUCCAGUCUCUGGGUUAAGCUAUCCUUCCUCCUAUCUCCCCAGCGGCCUGCCAGCUUGAGAGGAAAGUCCUCACCUGCCUGCAUCUUCCCCCGCUGGCCCCGAGAUCAUUUGCUCAAAUUGCUCCAGAAGCUUGAGGUCUCCCAGAGUGGGGGGUCUCCCGCAUCCCUGCCUGUUUCAGGCCUGCCCUUGACCACAGAGUGGAGGGUGGUGCACAGACAAGCUCUCUGUACUCUCUGAUGUCUCUGUGCGCCCAUCAACUGAGGCCUGGCCAGUGGGGCAAGGGGCUCUGGGACAUUCCGACAGUGACAUCCAGUAGGCAGGCCUGGGCUGGGAUGUGGGAGGCCCAGACCACCCCUCAGGACCCCUGGACCCGUGGACUCCAGACUAAUGCUGCUUCGGGGUGGGAUGGGGGUGCCAGGCCAGCAGGGUCAUGGUGCCUGCUUUCAGGAGGGCAACGUCCACCUGCUGAGGCCAACCGCUCACCCCGCCUCAUCAGGAGUGCCUGGCUUUGUCCUUGGGCACCCCCUGAGCUUUGCACAUAGGGCGGGGACACCUGGAUUUCUCUGGCCCCCUGAGUGGGGCCAACUUGGAGGAAUUUCCCAAAGCCUAUUAGAGCAGUGGCUGCCUCCUGCCUGCCUCCUCAGGCUGGGCAGGGCUGAGGGCGGAGGGAGAGAGGGAGGGAGGGGAGAGAGGAGGAAGGGAAAAAAAGUUGGCAGGCCGACAGGAGAGCUGUGCCUGCAUCCAUCUCUGAGAGGAGGCCCGUGCGGUGUGGGGCGGGCCAGGAGCAAGGAGAGGCCUUCCUCCCU